UGGGACUUGGAUAUAGGAACUGAACAUUGUUAGGAGGCUGAGGAGAAAGUCCAUGACUUGUAGAGCAAGGAACGGGAUCAGGAGGCGUUCCCUCUUCUUCACCACCCCAAAGAGGAGGUUGAAGCUGAUGACAAACAGCAUGAUGAUCAACAGGAAACUGGUGGUGACAUCAGCAAUUCUGUAGUAAUCCUUGCUCAGGUCUUUGCAGUAGCCCUUCC
rnacentral:lncRNA from 1 species